rnacentral:rRNA from 1 species
GACGAACGCUGGCGGCGUGCUUAACACAUGCAAGUCGAACGGAAAGGCCCCUUUGGGGGUCCUCGAGUGGCGAACGGGUGAGUAACACGUGAGUAACCUGCCCUUGACUUCGGGAUAACUUCAGGAAACUGGGGCUAAUACCGGAUAGGAAUCCUUGCUGCAUGGUGGGGGUUGGAAAGCUUCGGCGGUUUUGGAUGGACUCGCGGCUUAUCAGCUUGUUGGUGGGGUAGUGGCUUACCAAGGCUUUGACGGGUAGCCGGCCUGAGAGGGCGACCGGCCACAUUGGGACUGAGAUACGGCCCAGACUCCUACGGGAGGCAGAAGUGGGGAAUAUUGCACAAUGGGCGGAAGCCUGAUGCAGCAACGCCGCGUGCGGGAUGACGGCCUUCGGGUUGUAAACCGCUUUCAGCAGGGGCGAAGCUUGUGGUGACGGUACCUGCAGAAGAAGCACCGGCUAACUACGUG